AAGACUAUAGACCUGCGGAGUACCUGCGGAGGGAUCAUUAUCGAGUUUACAACUCCCAAACCAUUGUGAAUCUUACCUUUUCGUUGCUUCGGCGGGAUCGCCCCGGGCGCUUCGGUGCCCCGGAUUCAGGCGCCCGCCGGGGGACCUAAACUCUUGUAUUAUAGUGGAUUUCUGAGUGGAUUACACAAAUAAUCAAAACUUUCAACAAUGGAUCUCU
rnacentral:misc_RNA from 1 species